GAUGAACGCUGGCGGCGUGCCUAAUACAUGCAAGUCGAACGAACCCUCUUUAGGUCUGAGUGCUUGAAAUUAUCGCUAAAGAGAUGAGUGCUUAGUGGGUGAGCCACCCAUGGGCAACGGUCCCCAAAGGGGGGGAUGACACUAGGAAAAAGAAAAUUAUCCCGCACAUGAUUAGUCACCGAAUUAGAACCUUGUAAAAGGUAGCAGUUCGAACGGCUUUGGAUGGGCCAGGGGCUCAUUGGCUAGUUGGUAGGGUAAGGGCUGACUAAGGCAACGAUGCAUAGCCGCAUUGAGAGCGUGAUCGGCCACAUUGGAACUGAGACACGGCCCAAACUCCUACGGGAGGCAGCCGUAGGGAAUCUUCCACAAUGGGCGAAAGCCUGAUGGGGCAACGCCGCGUGGGUGAAGAAGGUCUUCGGAUCGUAAAACCCUGUUGUUAGGGAAGAAAGUGCGUGUGAGUAACUGUGCACAUUUUGACGGUACCUAAGCAGAAAGCCACGGCUAACUACGUG
rnacentral:rRNA from 1 species